UACGGAGGGAGCUAGCGUAGUUCGGAAUUACUGGGCGUAAAGCGCACGUAGGCGGCUUUGUAAGUCAGAGGUGAAAGCCUGGAGCUCAACUCCAGAACUGCCUUUGAGACUGCAUCGCUUGAAUCCAGGAGAGGUGAGUGGAAUUCCGAGUGUAGAGGUGAAAUUCGUAGAUAUUCGGAAGAACACCAGUGGCGAAGGCGGCUCACUGGACUGGUAUUGACGCUGAGGUGCGAAAGCGUGGGGAGCAAACAGG
rnacentral:rRNA from 1 species